CACAGGUAUAUGAUAACACAGAUGCUCUUCAAUUUACUAUGGUGUUACAUCCUGAUGGGCCCAUCUAAGAUUAAAGAUAAGUAAAAAAUGCACAUGAUCCCUGUAACCUACUGAACAUCCUGGCUCAGCAGCAAAGCACACUAUAGAGUUUCUCUUAUAACCCUCCAGGGCUGACUGGGAGCUGAGGUCACUGCUACUGCCCAGCACAGCAAGAGAGGACGAGACCCGGAGGAGCUUGCCAGGGAAAGAUCCAAAUUCAAAAUUCCGAGGACGGUUCCUACUGAAUGUGUAACACGUUUGCACCAUCGUGAAGUUGAAAAAUCAUAAGUGGAAUCUUGUUAUGUUGGGGACACUCUGUGUAAUAAUAUUCCUUGUCGUUCCAUGUUUGAAACGAAGUCCACUAACAGUGGGACUUCUGUCACCAGAUUCACCCCUUUUGGAAAGCAAAUUUCAUUAGCUUAUUUCUGGGGUGGCCCAGAUCCCUGGGGUGCGGAUGCAGCUGGGGAACUGGCUACAGACAGAAGCGGGACAAAACCCUUGGCUGUUGACAGAUUGUACCAGCACUGGUCCCCUGCUUUGAAGACCACGGGGUAAGCUGAAAAGACUGCUUCAUUAAUCCUAAAGCUGCCGCUCUCAUGCUGAAUCGUGAUUCACAUGGAGGUAAAUGUGUAACUGGUAUGGUUUUAGGAAACAUGUUUGCAUUUUUAGUUCUAAAGGGAAAUACUGGCAAUCUUUUUUUAAAUUUCUGACCCCUGCCUUUGUUUGUUUUUGUAAUACUCAAUGUUUAUGUACAUCAUAAUUUUUUGUGCAUAUCAAUUGUAAAAAAAAAAAAAGUUUUGAUGUGAUGUUUCCAUACAUUUGUAUAACAUGCUUUGAUCAUAUCCACCCUCCCUAUUAUGAUCUAGUCCCCUUCCCUAAUCAUCCUCUUCCUACUUUCACGAUGUCUUUUUAAAAUUUUCCUUCCA
rnacentral:lncRNA from 1 species